CCUGCUCCCUGCCUGUCCCACCCCCGGAGCCCCUCACCAGCUAGAGCUUGCAGCAGGUAGAAGACGGGGCCGGCAAGUCUCUUUUCCAGCCUUCUGGAGGAGAACACCAGGCACUCGAGGACAGCACCCACCGGACCAUCCCGAGGCUCCAAAAACCCGCCACGCAGGCCGUGCUCCAGCUGGGGGCCCUGGAAGUCUUCGGUGGUCGCCACCCGGUCCUCCACGGGCCCAUCUGUGGGGACAGGGCUGCUAUUGCCCAGGUCCACAGGCCUCACCUUUCUGCUGUGGCCUGAAGGUCGUCUUCUUCUUGUCCGGGAAGAAGAGGAUGUCUGGCAGCCAGACAGGAGCAGAGG